GACGAACGCUGGCGGCGUGCCUAAUACAUGCAAGUCGAGCGAUGCAGAUUGGUGUUUGCACCAACUUGAAGAGCAGCGAACGGGUGAGUAACGCGUGUGGAAUCUGCCUUUGAGCGGGGGACACUAUUUGGAAACGAAUGCUAAUACCGCAUAACAACUUUAAACAUAAGGUUUAAGUUUUAAAGAUGCAAUUUCAUCACUCAAAGAUGAUCCCGCGUUGUAUUAGCUAGUUGGUGGGGUAAAGGCUCCCCAAGGCGAGGAUACAUAGCCGACCUGAGAGGGGGAUCGCCCACGUUGGGACGGGAACACGGCCCAAACUCCUGCGGGUGGCACACGUAGGAGAUCUUCAGCGAUGGACGAAGGGCGGACCAGUCAACGCCGCGUGAGAGAAGAAUGUAUUCGGAUCGUAAAACUCAGUUGGUAGAGAAGAACGUUGAGGAGAGUUGAAAGCGCAGCAAGUGACGGUAACGGCCGAAAAAGGGACGGCUAACUACGUG
rnacentral:rRNA from 1 species